GAAGAAACCAGACAGCAGCAGCAAUCCCCUUUUAUUAGUUGCGAGGUAACAGCGUUCUUGCAGCGUGGCAGC